rnacentral:lncRNA from 1 species
CCCAGAAUCUGCAGUCAUUACACUCCACACGGAGCAGCGGUUUCCUCCGGUUCGUAAAAAGUCCUCGAUGGCAAAUUGCAGGCCGGGGACAAGUGAACUCUUCAGGGACACACAUGUCGCUGGCCUGGCGCAGAGUGGAAGUCUGUGGCCUCACAGGGACACACGGGGAGUCAGCGGAGGGCACAUCCGGGGGAGGCCCAGCGGGCGGGGGGUGACGAGCUGGCCUGUCCGGCCUCUGCAGAGGGUCUGAGUCACUUCAGUUUCCUCUUAGUUGGGAGGCGUGUCGGUCGUGGAGGGCAAUUUCCUUGAUUUGCAAUAGAUUCAAAAAGACAAAGGCAGGCGGAGGAUCCAGAAUAAGAGUUUUGUCAUUUUGUUUUAUUUUCAGAGCCCCCCCCCCAUAUGCCUCCAAGCAGAAUGUCCCCAAAGAAUCCUGCUGUCACAAAUUCCUCCCCAGGCUAAGGUCAAAACUCCAGAAGAGCGGCUCCUAUCCCUGGGGAAGACGAGAAAAUUCCCCCAAAGACACAGAACUAAAAGCCCAUUUAUCUCCCCUGAAAGUCCUUUGUUUUCCCAUAAUUCUCUUUUUCCCCACCCCUGCCCCAUCCCUAAUUAAGACAGUUUAUGGACCCCUAACUCUGCAUACCUUUUUGAGUCACAUUUUUCUAUAUUUCUAUUUCCUGCAUUCCUAUGGGGAUUCAAAAAAACAAAACAAAACCUGUCUUUUCUCUGGCUAAACUGUCUUUUUAAGUCUAUUUGUAGCCCCGUCCCCAUGAACAAACCUAAGAGGUAGGAGAAACGUUUUUCUUCCAUGAUAUUGGCGUUCACAUGUCUUUACUGGUAACUAUUAAAGACAAGAUACUCCAGAGUUCCUGUCCUCUGGUUUUUUGAUAAUGGGGAGAGUUUGUUUUCAUUAUCUUUCUCCAACAGGCAUGACUGUGGCAUACAGAUGUUCCCGAUCUGGUGCCACAACAGCAACCUGAGCCACGGCCAUGACGAUGCUGAAUCCUUAACCCGCUGAGCCACGAGGGAACUCCAACUUCAGAUUUUUUAAGCAGACAGCAGGGGAGUCUUUGGGUGUUUAUCCUUGCCUCUGGCUGCACCCACAUAAGGGACCUCAAAUAUCUCAGCUUACAUACUUUGGUGGCACAGGUGCAGAGACCACAAGAAAUGGGUACCACGGCAGAUUGCUGGGAAAUUCUGGAAAUUGUGGCUCUGGACACUGGCUCAAAGGAAUCACAUCACUGUGUAUAAAUACUGCCAAUCACCACACCCGUGCAUGUGUCAUAUACGUUUAAGCCUAUGCUUAACCCACCAUCCGGAAGAAAUGCACAAAGCAACUACCACCACCCUCCCCACUCAGUGUGGGCCAGCCGCACCACGAGCACCCAGGAGCUGGUGAGAAAGGCAGAGUCCCGGGCCCGCCCCGCACCUGCUGCUCCAGCAUCUGCAUCUGACAGACCCCAGGAGGGCUUUGCGUCCGUUGUUUGGGUAGCGCUGAAGUGGGGACACUUUGAUUGGUGUUCUUAGAACAAAAGCACAACGAGAUAGACCUUCUUGACCAAGUCGGGUAUUUAACUAAGACCAGGCCAAAAAGAGGGAUUAAAAAAAUGAAAAACUGCUCUGGGAGUUCCCUCGUGGCCUAGUGGUGAAGGAUCCAGCAUUAUCACUGCUGUGGCUCUGGUCCCUGCUGAGGCACAGGUUCGAUCCUUGGCCCCAGAACUUCCACAUGCCGUGGGUGUGGCCAAAAAAAAAAAAAAAAAAAA